AAACUCGGUCACGACGGCAGACAUCUUGGAUUUCAAACCAAAAUGUUUUUUAUCGUUACCAUUGCCAUUUGCAGAUUUAAUCGAAAAAUUCAAAAAAUAUAUUCAUUGUUUUUCAAUGAGGAAAUGAAUGUCUGCUCCAGAGACAACUUUGUAAUCAAAACUUCCGGCUGAGAAAGCACGCAUAACAUCCUGUUUGCGAUACUACUGCAUUGAAAUGUGCGAGUACGCGCGCUUCACAGAUGGGCGCAUUGUCUUUGUGUAUAACAGGACAAAAUAGAAUAUACAAGUUAUUCUAAAGCAAUACUUACAAAGAUAUUGAUGUGUCCUCAUUCGCUUUUUGAAGAAAACCUUCGUUUUAGUCUUAAAUUUGACCGGAAAUUUCCUGUGAACGGAAAUGGCAGACAAAGCAGGAUCUUCCUUUUUGCUAUGAACACGUGACCUGAAUGGAAAGGUUGAAUGAUAUUUGGGAAUAAAUUUUACAAAACGAAUUCUAUGCCAGGUGCUAUUGGACAUUGUGACGCACUUUCUAUCGAGUUAAGCAAUAAAAUAUGAUUUUAAUUUGUUUU
rnacentral:sRNA from 1 species